GACGAACGCUGGCGGCGUGCUUAACACAUGCAAGUCGAACGCUGAAACUCAGCUUUUGUUGGGUGGAUGAGUGGCGAACGGGUGAGUAACACGUGAGUAACCUGCCCCCUUCUUUGGGAUAACGCCCGGAAACGGGUGCUAAUACUGGAUAUUCACUGGUCUUCGCAUGGGGGUUGGUGGAAAGGGUUUUUCUGGUGGGGGAUGGGCUCGCGGCCUAUCAGCUUGUUGGUGGGGUGAUGGCCUACCAAGGCUUUGACGGGUAGCCGGCCUGAGAGGGUGACCGGUCACAUUGGGACUGAGAUACGGCCCAGACUCCUACGGGAGGCAGCAGUGGGGAAUAUUGCACAAUGGGCGCAAGCCUGAUGCAGCGACGCCGCGUGAGGGAUGGAGGCCUUCGGGUUGUGAACCUCUUUCGCUCAUGGUCAAGCCGCAACAAUGGUUGUGGUGAGGGUAGUGGGUAAAGAAGCGCCGGCUAACUACGUG
rnacentral:rRNA from 1 species